UACGAAGGGGGCUAGCGUUGCUCGGAAUCACUGGGCGUAAAGCGCACGUAGGCGGAUUGUUAAGUCAGGGGUGAAAUCCUGGAGCUCAACUCCAGAACUGCCUUUGAUACUGGCGAUCUUGAGUCCGGGAGAGGUGAGUGGAACUGCGAGUGUAGAGGUGAAAUUCGUAGAUAUUCGCAAGAACACCAGUGGCGAAGGCGCUCACUGGCCCGAUACUGACGCUGAGGCACGAAGGCCAGGGGAGCAAACGGG
rnacentral:rRNA from 1 species